AUUGAACGCUGGCGGCAUGCCUUACACAUGCAAGUCGAACGGCAGCACGGACUUCGGUCUGGUGGCGAGUGGCGAACGGGUGAGUAAUAUAUCGGAACAUACCUUGUAGUGGGGGAUAACUAUCCGAAAGGAUAGCUAAUACCGCAUACGCUCUAAGGAGGAAAGUGGGGGAUCGCAAGACCUCAUGCUAUAAGAGUGGCCGAUAUCUGAUUAGCUAGUUGGUGAGGUAAAGGCUCACCAAGGCGACGAUCAGUAGCUGGUCUGAGAGGACGACCAGCCACACUGGAACUGAGACACGGUCCAGACUCCUACGGGAGGCAGCAGUGGGGAAUUUUGGACAAUGGGGGCAACCCUGAUUCAGCAAUGCCGCGUGUGUGAAGAAGGCCUUCGGGUUGUAAAGCACUUUAGUUGGGGAAGAAGGUGUAUUGUUUAAGAGAUGAUACAUUUGACUGUACCCAAAGAAUAAGCACCGGCUAACUCUGUGCCAGCAGCCGCCGUAA
rnacentral:rRNA from 1 species